CACGUAGGGCGCAAGCGUUGUCCGGAAUUAUUGGGCGUAAAGAGCUCGUAGGCGGUCUGUUGCGUCCGCUGUGAAAACUCGGGGCUUAACCCCGAGCCUGCAGUGGAUACGGGCAGACUAGAGGUAGGUAGGGGAGAAUGGAAUUCCCGGUGUAGCGGUGAAAUUCGUAGAUAUUCGGAAGAACACCAGUGGCGAAGGCGGCUCACUGGACGCGUAUUGACGCUGAGGUACGAAAGCGUGGGGAGCAAACAGG
rnacentral:rRNA from 1 species